UACGUAGGGGGCAAGCGUUGUCCGGAUUUAUUGGGCGUAAAGAGCGUGUAGGCGGUCAGGUAGGUCCGUUGUGAAAACUCGAGGCUCAACCUCGAGACGCCGAUGGAAACCAUCUGACUAGAGUCCGGAAGAGGAGAGUGGAAUUCCAGGUGUAGCGGUGAAAUGACGCAGAUAUCAGGAGGAACACCAGCGGCGAAGGCGGUGCUCUGGGCCGGUACUGACACUGAGGAGCGAAAGCGUGGGUAGCAAACAGG
rnacentral:rRNA from 1 species